UUCUUUCCCUUUCAUUUUGAAAACGUGUGGCGUGCCAAAAGGCAGUUGGACGGAAUGUUCAGAGGCCACAUAAUAGAACAACAGAGGCUGCCAAGCUCCGAAAUCACAAACCAGACAAGACAAUCUCAGCUCUCGGGACGUAGAGACCCCUGGUCAGCACCACGAGUCCCCAGCAAGUGACAAGAUGGACCACUGCCCACAGUUCCAGCAGGAAAGGACGCCUCUACCUUGAGGUCCUUACGAGAAGAGAUGAAGUCCAUUUUCCCCCUCCUCAAAUCUGGGAUGGCCUUGUAACUUUCUUUGGCCAAGACAGUGCAGCAGAAGCGAUGAUAGGGGUUCUAAGCCUAGUGCCUGUGGGCACAGCAGGACAGCAGCAUAGAACCCUCCUGAGGGCCAGAUUCGACAUCCUCCAUCUCAACAGGGUCCCGAGGUUUUCCUGACUCCAAGGACACUGCAGAUCCCCAGCUCAUAACAAAUGAUGUUCAUGCACAUGCCAGCCCUUUCUUUCUAUGAGGCAAUCCUCAGAGGCCUUUGCCAAGAUAAACUGUUUGGCCUUCUGCCUUGAAAGU